AGUCGAGCGGCAGCGGAAAGUAGCUUGCUACUUUGCCGGCGAGCGGCGGACGGGUGAGUAAUGUCUGGGAAACUGCCUGAUGGAGGGGGAUAACUACUGGAAACGGUAGCUAAUACCGCAUAACGUCGCAAGACCAAAGAGGGGGACCUUCGGGCCUCUUGCCAUCAGAUGUGCCCAGAUGGGAUUAGCUAGUAGGUGGGGUAACGGCUCACCUAGGCGACGAUCCCUAGCUGGUCUGAGAGGAUGACCAGCCACACUGGAACUGAGACACGGUCCAGACUCCUACGGGAGGCAGCAGUGGGGAAUAUUGCACAAUGGGCGCAAGCCUGAUGCAGCCAUGCCGCGUGUAUGAAGAAGGCCUUCGGGUUGUAAAGUACUUUCAGCGGGGAGGAAGGCGUUGAGGUUAAUAACCUCAGCGAUUGACGUUACCCGCAGAAGAAGCACCGGCUAACUCCGUGCCAGCAGCCGCGGUAAUACGGAGGGUGCAAGCGUUAAUCGGAAUUACUGGGCGUAAAGCGCACGCAGGCGGUCUGUCAAGUCRGAUGUGAAAUCCCCGGGCUCAACCUGGGAACUGCAUUCGAAACUGGCAGGCUAGAGUCUUGUAGAGGGGGGUAGAAUUCCAGGUGUAGCGGUGAAAUGCGUAGAGAUCUGGAGGAAUACCGGUGGCGAACGCGGCCCCCUGGACAAAGACUGACGCUCAGGUGCGAAAGCGUGGGGAGCAAACAGGAUUAGAUACCCUGGUAGUCCACGCCGUAAACGAUGUCGACUUGGAGGUUGUGCCCUUGAGGCGUGGCUUCCGGAGCUAACGCGUUAAGUCGACCGCCUGGGGAGUACGGCCGCAAGGUUAAACUCAAAUGAAUUGACGGGGGCCCGCACAGCGGUGGAGCAUGGGUUUAAUUCGAUGCAACGCGAGACCUUACCUACUCUGACAUCCAGAGACUUACCAGAGAUGCUUUGGUGCUUCGGACUCUGAGACAGGUGCUGCAUGCUGUCGUCAGCUCGUGUUGUCCAUGUAGGUAAGUUCCCGCAACGAGCCACCUAUCUUGUGCAGCGUUCGGGCGGUUACCUCCG
rnacentral:rRNA from 1 species